rnacentral:pre_miRNA from 1 species
UACCUCUUGCUGGAGAAGCAGGGCACGUGCAAUUGAGCCUGCAUUAGAGGUGCUUGCACGUGCUCCCCUUCUCCAACAUGGGUUC